rnacentral:rRNA from 1 species
CCUGGCUCAGAUUGAACGCUGGCGGCAGGCUUAACACAUGCAAGUCGAGCGGGGGAAGGUAGCUUGCUACUGGACCUAGCGGCGGACGGGUGAGUAAUGCUUAGGAAUCUGCCUAUUAGUGGGGGACAACAUCUCGAAAGGGAUGCUAAUACCGCAUACGUCCUACGGGAGAAAGCAGGGGAUCUUCGGACCUUGCGCUAAUAGAUGAGCCUAAGUCGGAUUAGCUAGUUGGUGGGGUAAAGGCCUACCAAGGCGACGAUCUGUAGCGGGUCUGAGAGGAUGAUCCGCCACACUGGGACUGAGACACGGCCCAGACUCCUACGGGAGGCAGCAGUGGGGAAUAUUGGACAAUGGGGGGAACCCUGAUCCAGCCAUGCCGCGUGUGUGAAGAAGGCCUUAUGGUUGUAAAGCACUUUAAGCGAGGAGGAGGCUACUUUAGUUAAUACCUAGAGAUAGUGGACGUUACUCGCAGAAUAAGCACCGGCUAACUCUGUGCCAGCAGCCGCGGUAAUACAGAGGGUGCGAGCGUUAAUCGGAUUUACUGGGCGUAAAGCGUGCGUAGGCGGCUUAUUAAGUCGGAUGUGAAAUCCCCGAGCUUAACUUGGGAAUUGCAUUCGAUACUGGUGAGCUAGAGUAUGGGAGAGGAUGGUAGAAUUCCAGGUGUAGCGGUGAAAUGCGUAGAGAUCUGGAGGAAUACCGAUGGCGAAGGCAGCCAUCUGGCCUAAUACUGACGCUGAGGUACGAAAGCAUGGGGAGCAAACAGGAUUAGAUACCCUGGUAGUCCAUGCCGUAAACGAUGUCUACUAGCCGUUGGGGCCUUUGAGGCUUUAGUGGCGCAGCUAACGCGAUAAGUAGACCGCCUGGGGAGUACGGUCGCAAGACUAAAACUCAAAUGAAUUGACGGGGGCCCGCACAAGCGGUGGAGCAUGUGGUUUAAUUCGAU